rnacentral:tRNA from 1 species
CUGGUGACCCCCAACCACCCUUAAUGA